GGGGCGCGACCGGGUCG
rnacentral:miRNA from 1 species